GCACUCGUAGCUCAGUUGGUAGAGCAGCUGACUCUUAAUCAGCGGGUCUCCGGUUCGAGCCCGGACGAGUGUA
rnacentral:tRNA from 1 species